rnacentral:rRNA from 1 species
UUCUGGGAGGAUUGACAGAUUGAGAGCUCUUUCUGGAUUCGGUGGAUGGUGGUGCAAGUCCGUUCUUACUUGGUGGAGCGAUUUGUCUGGUUAAUUACGAUAACGGACGAGACUCUAGCCUAUUAAAGAGGUGCGUGGUUCUUUGCACCUUGCACCCUGCUCAGAGGGACAAGCGGCUUGUAGCCGCACGAAACAGAGCAAUAACAGGUCUGUGAUGCCCUUAGAU